CAUGUCUUUUUGAUUAUAAUUUUAAGUCUGAUCUGCUCAAUGAGGGUUUUAAAUUGCCGCAGUAUAUUGACUGUGCAAAGGUAGCGUAAUAAUUAGUUUCUUAAUUAGAAGCUUGAAUGAAGGAUUUGACAAGAAAGUGUCUGUCUCUUUUUAAUUAUUAUAAAAUUUUAUUUUUAAGUUAAAAAGCUUAAAUUUUUUUAAAAGACAAGAAGACCCUAUAGAGUUUAAUAUUAUGUUUAUUAUUUUUAUGGAAGUUUUAAUUAUUCUUUAUAUUUAGUUGGGGUGACAAGAAGAUAAUAAUUAAUUCUUUUAUAAGAUGGGUUGAUGAUUAUUAAUUUUGUAGUCUUAUAGUUUAGAGAUUAAAAUAAAUUACCUUAGGGAUAACAGCGUUAUUUUUUUUUAGAGUUCUAAUUGAGAAAAAAGUUUGCGACCUCGAUGUUGGAUUAAAAUUAAUUUUUGGCGAAGUAGCUUUAGGAUUUGGUCUGUUCGACCAUUAAAAUUUUACAUGAUCUGAGUUUAAACCGGUGUGAGCCAGGUUGGAUUCUAUCUUUAGUUUAUUUUAAUGUUUUAGUACGAAAGGACCAAUCAUUGAUUAUAUAUUAAUUA
rnacentral:rRNA from 1 species